rnacentral:rRNA from 1 species
AGUGGCGGACGGGUGAGUAACACGUAGGUAACCUGCCCUUGGGAGGGGGACAACUCAGGGAAACUUGAGCUAAUACCCCAUAAGACCACUGAGAUAAAAGUAGCACCUAAGGAUGGGCCUGCGGCCUAUCAGGUAGUUGGUGAGGUAACGGCUCACCAAGCCAAAGACGGGUAGCCGGGCUGAGAGGUUGAACGGCCACACUGGAACUGAGAUACGGUCCAGACUCCUACGGGAGGCAGCAGUGGGGAAUAUUGCACAAUGGGGGAAACCCUGAUGCAGCGACGCCGCGUGGAGGAUGAAGGCCUUCGGGUUGUAAACUCCUUUUGCAGGGGAAGAUUGACGGUACCCUGCGAAUAAGCCACGGCUAACUCUGUGCCAGCAGCCGCGGUAAGACAGAGGUGGCAAGCGUUGUUCGGAAUUACUGGGCUUAAAGGGCGAGUAGGCGGUGGAGUAAGUCUGGGGUGGAAUCCUACGGCUUAACCGUAGAACUGCCUUAGAAAC